rnacentral:rRNA from 1 species
ACUCCUACGGGAGGCAGCAGUGGGGAAUCUUGCGCAAUGGGCGAAAGCCUGACGCAGCCAUGCCGCGUGAAUGAUGAAGGUCUUAGGAUUGUAAAAUUCUUUCACCGGGGACGAUAAUGACGGUACCCGGAGAAGAAGCCCCGGCUAACUUCGUGCCAGCAGCCGCGGUAAUACGAAGGGGGCUAGCGUUGCUCGGAAUUACUGGGCGUAAAGGGCGCGUAGGCGGAUCGUUAAGUCAGAGGUGAAAUCCCAGGGCUCAACCCUGGAACUGCCUUUGAUACUGGCGAUCUUGAGUAUGAGAGAGGUAUGUGGAACUCCGAGUGUAGAGGUGAAAUUCGUAGAUAUUCGGAAGAACACCAGUGGCGAAGGCGACAUACUGGCUCAUUACUGACGCUGAGGCGCGAAAGCGUGGGGAGCAAACA